UUCAUUUCAUAAAAAGUGCACUCCAUAAAGUGCCAGAAUAGGACUUUCCUCAGGUCAGCAUGUUGAGACUGAAACUUCGACACUUUGAAUUACUACAAGCACUUUAUGGAGUGCACUUUUUAUGAAAUGAA